rnacentral:lncRNA from 1 species
CCGCGGAGAGUGACCGGCGAGGCGACGCCUACUGCUGUGAUCCGCGCCUCCUUUCGCUUCCCUCCGGUUCGUGAGUCACGGGCAGGUCAGGAGGAGCGAUCCGGGAGGAAGGCAGCGAGCGAGGGAGGGACGGGCAGCCCCUUGGCCGCUGGGAGCCGCCACCACCGCGGCGGAGAGAGGCCCCGCCAGCCCGCCUCCCGCCCCUUGCCGCCAAGGCGCCUCCUCCCUCCAGGUGGCUCCCUCCUUCUUUCCCUCCCUCUUCGUCGGGCGCGGAAAGCGAGGGCUCCGCGGCGGGAGCUGAAGCCAAGGCAUCCCAAUGCGUGGCGACUGAACCGAGACGCCUCGCCCGCCGCCGCCGCCGCCGCCUUCAACAAUCAAGUGUCUGAAAAAUGAAAUCCCCAUGGAGGAAUAUUUCUGUUUGCAAGUUAGAUGUCCCCACUACAAAUACCUCUGCCAGAGGCUUUGUGUUUUGUUCUUUUUUAAGGUAUGUCUGCAAUAGAUCUGAGUAGAAAAUACUCAUUUUCUGUCCACUGGGACAUAUUUCCAAGGUUGUAGCCAUAUGUACUUGGCAGUGCUAGUAUAUGAAACUGGUCCCACCCGAUACAAAUCUUAUCUGAAUGGAAUGAAAGCAUCUCCACCUUUUAGAAACACGUGGCUGUUCCAAAUAAUAUGUUAAAAGAUAAGAGUGGGCUUUUAACAGAUUUAUUAUGAUGCGUAGGAGAUGGGGAUGAAUAACAAACAUGAUCGACCUUAGAUAAACUCUGGCCAAGAGGAAAUAUGGUAGCCUCAAUUAUUUGUAGUUGAGAUAGCAUCUUGCCAAGAAUGAAGUGGGUUGUCAGGCAGGCUGAAUGGCCACAGGCCAUUUAAAAGCCAUUGGUAAUUGAUAAUGUCAACACCUAGGAGGCAGAACAGAGCUGCCUUGUACCCAAAAACAUUGUUCUAAAAGAAGUAGUUCUCAAAAAGCCUAUUCAGAGGGCUUUGCUUCAUUUUCUUAGGGUAUGACUGCAAACUUAAUGGGACGUUCAAUCAAUAUGUAGGAAACUACCAACUUAAAUAGAAUUUCUCUAAAAUUAUAUUUACUGUGCCAUUCAUUUUAUAUACUAGUGAACCACUUUUUAAUUUAGUUGUAGAGAAGUGAGUUACUAAUGUAUAGAGAAAUGUAAAAGCCUGUUAUGGUAAAUUUUAUUUACAUCUGUAUUUCAGGGAAAUGGCUGUGAGAGAAAGGCCUAUCAAGUUUCCCAUUUUGAUGAAAUUAUAAAUUUUAUUUUGUUGAGAUUCAACUCUCAGAAUCCCAUAGCUAAUAUGGCCAGUGGACAGCUUUCAUAGAAAGUAAAUUCCAAGCUCUGUCAUUUCCCUUCUUUUGUACUUUCAAGUGCCUUGAAAAAGCGAGAAUGAGGGGAAGGGGAAAAGUCUUAAUGCUCUGAUUUUGUAAAGCUAAAC